AGUAGCAGGACAUUAAGCGGUAAAGGCAUAAAUGAAUCAUUGAGAUUAAUGAGGAGAGCACGCCCUCUGCUGCCUCCUGGGUGUAACAACAAAAUACAAAUAUAUAAAGUGAACAAAUCCAAAACUCUUCAUUUUAAAAUGCACAGCCAAUCACAGCAUGUGCGUCAAAAUGUGACCUCCAGCGUCCCCCUCAUAGUCAGGGCAUUUGAGGAGAGCAGGGUUACUGGCGCCCAUCUGGAUGGAGGAGGCCUCGCUAGAGAUGUCGGAGGCACUGCGGCCCCUUGACCACACCUCCGGGUGCAGGAAGUGACCCGAGUGGUCUGAGCAGUUGCUGAGGCGAGGUCUGUAGAAUGUGUGAUGGCGAGGUCUGUAGAUCUCUGCUGUGUACCGCUUCAUGAACAAGUAGACCGACAUGACACCUGCGCUCUGGCACAAAGAGUAAGUGUGAAGUUAAAGCAGGGCAUCCACAUUAUCUACCCCUCAGCCAACCCUAAUCCUUCUCCAAACCGUAACCACAACACCACCGUUUACACAAACCCAAACUCAACAAUAAUAACCCUGACCUUUAACUCCAACCUUAAACCCAAUCCUGCCCAGGGCUGGAUUGGCCAUCGGGAGGUUUGGUCGGUGAACCGACCAAAAAUUGGCCAAUGAACGACCGUUUAUUUAGUUAUUUGCGGUUGCGCUUCACUGCAACGCUAUAUUAAAUGGAAAUUGAUACAUUCCAGGCACUAAGACCAAGCGGAAAACGGUCGCUCAAUUCGAAGACCGCAAGCUCGUCGAUUGGCUCUUUCCGUAUCUUGCUAACCUGUGAUUGCCCAUCCCAGCUGUCACUCCAUGAGCGCUUGGACGUCCUCCACGGUGUUUUGCUAGUUGGCCAAGAAGGUCGCGUUCAUAUCGCUCGCUAUCAUGUUAACAUGUUGGCCGUUUGUUCUGCCUGAGAAGCCAAACUCCUUACUUAAAUGACCCAUCAGCUAAGCAGAACAACGUUCCUCGUCACGAAAAUCCGACCAGAACUGGACUCGCGGGAACAAAUGGUGAGCAGGAAGGAGAUGGCAGCAAAGGCAAAGGACCAUCCAUACUUGUACUUAAAGUAGACCUCGUGGCUUCUGGUCCUGUUCAACACCUCAUCGUUGAUGCUGGAUAUGUACAGCACCAGACCCACCACCAGAGCCAGACCUGGGACACACAGACCAUGAUGAGAUCUAGAAGAACACACACAGGAUGAGAAAUAGAGGAUGGAUGCUCAGCAUACCUGACAGGAUGAAGAAGAUUCCUGAAACAAAAGCCAGGAUGGUGUGAUGGGGCCUGACGUGGCCGAUGUUGUUGAGGACGAAGCCGAUGAACAUAAAGAAGAGGCUGACCACGGGGAAAGGAGUCGCUGAGCGGAUCAUCUCUAGAAGGAAAGUCAUCAUUUCAAGUAGCACUGAUACAUUUUACUUUCCGCAGUGGAAGUCAUCUACUCACUCAGGAUAUUGACUGUGGACUCUGACGUGAACUUGACAUUGGCAGGCAUCAUGUACUCAAUGGUGAAGCAUCCACCUGCCUCGCCUCCUAAAACACACAGGAGGAUCUUUGACCAGCAUUUAUGCAGUAGGUCCUUCAGAGCAGCAGACCACUCAUGUCUUAUAGAGGAUCUUUGGUGAGCCUUUUGCAGUAGGUCCUCAAAAACAGCAGAAUGCUACUGUCUUAUAGAGCAUUUUUGCAAUCGGUACUCAAAAACAGCAAAGCACUCUUGUUUUACAGAGGAUCUUUGAUGAGCAUUUUUGCAGUAGGUCCUCAAAAACAGCAGAGUACUGCUGUCUUAUAGUGGCUCUUUGAUGAGCGUUUUUGCAGUAGAUACUUAAAAACAGCAGAGCACUUCUGCCUUAUAGAGGAUCUUUAACAAGUGUUUUUGCAGUAGGUCCUCAAAAACAGCAGAAUGCUGCUCUGUUACAGACAAGCUUUUUUCAACAAAUGCAAAGCAGUCCUGUCUUACAAAGGCUCUUUGACUAGCUUUUUUGUAGUUGGUCCUCAAAAACAGCAAAGCACUGCUGUCUUAUACUUUAUGGGGCGUUUUUGGUACUUAAAAAACAGCAGAGCACUUCUGCCUCAUAGAGGAUCUUUGAUGAGCAUUUUUGCAGUAGGUCCUCAAAAACAGCAGCAUGCUGCUGUCUUACAGGGAAUUUUUGACAAGCAUUUUUGCAAUAGAUACUCAACGACAGCAAAGCGCUCCUGUCUUAUAAAGGCUCUUUGACUGGAUUUUUUGCAGUAGGUCCUCAAAAACAGCAGAACACUGCUGUCUUGUAGUGGAUCUUUGAUGACCGCUUUUGCAUUAGGUACUUAAAAACAACAGAGCACUUCUGCCUCUUUGACAAGUGUUUUUGCAGUAGGCCCAUAAAAACAGCAGAGCGCUCUUCUCUUAUAGAGGAUCUUUGACGAGCAUUUUUGCAGUAGGUCUUCAAAAACAGCAGAAUGCUGCUGUCUUACAGGGGAUCUUUGAAAAGAAUUUUUGCAAUAUAUACUCAACAACAGCAAAGCGCUCCUGUCUUUAUAAAGGCUCUUUGACUAGCUUUUUUGCAGUAGAUACUUAAAAACAGCAGAGCACUUCUGCCUUACAGUAUAGAGGAUCUUUGACAAGUGUUUUUGCAAUAGGUAUUCAACAACAGCAAAGUGCUCCUGUCUUAUAAAGGCUCUUUGACCAGGGGAAAGUUUUAACAAUCAUAAUAAAGCAGUAUCCAAAGUACAAAAAUACGUACAACCAAUACGUAAAGCCUAAUUUUCGACCGCUGCGGGUGCACCAUAUGAUCAUCAAACGUACUUAUUUGGUCAUAUGAUGCACACACAGCAAUGAACAACUUCCUGCUCUGUUCUGCUUGUGCUGUGAGGCGUUCAGGCGCACUCAUAAUUGUGAGUGUUAGGCGCUAAUUGUUUUUCGUUUUUUAUUCACGUACCCCCUAUGACAAUGACAACUGGGGUACCCCGGGGGUACAUGUACCCCACUCUGGGACACUAGGUUAUAGAGGAUCUUUGACAAGUGUCUCUCCAGUACGUCCUUAUAAACGGCAGAGCGCUGCUGUCUUAUAGAGGAUCUUUGACAAACGUUUUUGCAGUAGACCCUUAAAAACAGAAGAGUGCUCAUGUCUUAUAGAGGGUCCUUGACUAGUGGUUUUACACUAGGCCCUUAAAAGCAACAGACCACUCCUCUCUUAUAGAGGAUCUCUGACAAGUGUUCUUGCAGUGGGCCCUUAAAAGCACGCUCUUGUUUUAUGGAGGAUCUUUGACUAGCAUUUUGCAGUAGAGCAAGUCCAUAAAAAAGCAGAGCACUCCUGUCUUCUAGAGGAUCUUUGACUGGCAUUUUGGCAGUACAGUAAGUCUAUAAAAACAGCAGUAGUUAAAUAGCCAUGAUGUAACCCAUUGAUUGUCAAACAAGUCCCACUGCUAGCAGGUCAUCUCGUGUCAUUCUUUGUGGAAGCUGCAGUGAUGCUGACGUCAUCAUCUUCCUGUGGCGUCCACAUUUGGAGCUGUGACACACAAAGAGGCUUUGUUACCCACCCGUCAGGAAGCAGACCCUCCAGAGGCCGGAGUGCAGCGAGCUCCUGAUGUCGGCGCUCUGGUUGACGGGCACGAUGACGCCUUCUUCCAGAAUUGGACAGAAUGAGAGCAAAGAAGCAACACACUCGUACCACUUUGGGCUUAAACGGUGGUUGGAUCUCCCUGUUGGCCAGGCGCUCCCAGUCGAUGCGUCGGAAGAAGGCCUGCUCCCUGAUGUCCCUCUCGCCCUCCGGCCCGCAGCCGAGACGCUUUGAAGGAUGUUUGGUCAUCAGCUAGGAGGGACGACAAGUGUGAUGUCAUCAUUAUUACAUGAUCAUGAGAUGUGAAGCAAACAAGUGGAUGAUAUCGGAUCGUCUCAAGUGUGUAAAUAAGCUCCGAAAGCUCAUUUCCUUCCUAAUGGCAAUGACGGCGAUGCCCACAAAGUGACACCCGGGUGUUGGAGGUGCAGCUGGACACGACAAUAACACUCACCCAGGAAAGUACAGUACCUGUCCCAUUACUGCAUGUACACUGUUACCUAUUUGAACAGGUGCCAUACCAUACGUACCCCUUUGCAGAUGGACACCGCUUCUUUGGACAUGGACUUGGGGUAGGACACGUUGUGCUCCAUGAUGGACUGGAAGAGCUCGUCCUCGUCCUCGCCAUCAAACGGCGGCUGUGAAGGAAAUGUCAUAAAUUCAAGUCAAUUUAAUGUGAAAUACAAUUAAAAAAAGCUAGUGUCCGACUGAUUUGCAUUGCAUGUAAACAGAGCAGUGGAGGACCCAGUAGAAAUGUAGUACUAGCACCGAUGCUAACACUGUUGCUGCUAACGCAAGAAAGUUCAUGUAACUGUUAUUUCUCUCUAAAAAUAUAUAUAUAUAAAUAUAAAUAUCUACAUAAAAUAAUUACAAUAUAAAUAAAUAUAUUUUAUGUAAAAAAUCAUUCUUUAUAGAAAAUUUGUGUCUCUCUGACUUUAUUUCUAUAUUUCAAAAUAUAUAAAUAGAAAUAUCUAAAUAAAAUAGAAAUCAAUAGAGUUGAUAUAAAACACAAUUUUAUAUUUAAAAAAAUUGAAUAAAAUUCCCAUGAAGUUGCUGUGCAGGAAAAUUGAUGUAUAUCAGACUUUUUAUUUUUAUAAAUACAUGAUAAAAAUACAUGACUAUAACAUAAAUAUGGUUUAUGUAAAUAAACAAUUAUAUUAAAACAAAUAGAAAAAAUGCUACUAUUUGAAAUGUUGUUUAAUAUUAAAAAUGUUACAAAUUAAAAAACAAUGGAAAUGAAUUUUAUUCUUGCUUCAGGUAGAACCCACCCCCCCCAAGGAAAUUUAUGUAUAUCAGACUUUUAAAAAAAUAUUAAUUAAAAAAAUACAUGAAUAAAAUAUAUAUAUGGUUUAUGUAAAUAAAUACUUUUAUUUUAAAAAUACUAUUUGAAAUGUUUCAUAUUAAAAAUAUGAAAAAUUCAAAAACAAUGUUAAUGCGUUUUAUUGUUGCUUCAGAGAGAACACCCCCCCCCCCCACCACCACCCCCCACCCCCAAAUAUUUACGACGUACGGUAAAUCCAAUAUAAUUGAUCUCACGUCAUUCCUGGAGGCUCAAAGCCCCGAGAGGCCAGGUUGGAUAUUGCUAUGAUAUGCUGUGAUGUAAUAACCAGCAGCCCGUUCCUUUACUGAUGUGUUUCUUUGGCCGUUCUUCUUACCUGUCCUGCCAGCAUCUCGUAGAGAAGAACUCCAUAAGCCCACCAGUCCACUGACUUUCCAUACGGCUGGUAGGCUAUAAUCUGAUCAAGAAAAGAAGACGAGGAUGAGUCCAGUCUUGGAAAAAAAACCCACGUCAUCCAAACUCCGCUAUUCAGAGAGGCUAACAAAGGAGCUUUUCUCCUAACAUCCAAUUUACUGUCGCACAUCUCCCUCCCACGCCUGCACACGCACGACCAUCAGAUAGACGUGCCAAAAAAAGAACAAAACUGCAGCUGCACUUUGCACGAAAAGUAUCAAUUUGUGCCAUUCCCUGAAUUUAUAAUCAGCACAGAAAAAAGUACAAA